rnacentral:lncRNA from 1 species
GACACUUGCUUAUGCUGAGCCCGAUCCCUGUGCCCCCAUGCGUCCUGGAUAUAGAUGGUCCAACUUGCAUGAACGGUGUAAAAAUGCGUGACUGAGCUUCUACAGGGAUCCCUACGCCAGUAUCCUCAACUGAGACGAUUAGGUUGAUUUCAGAUGGUGCUGGUGCUAAGCCCCUAUGUCCAUUGGAGCUGAAAGCUUUGAAGUUUUGCCAGCUUCUCUGCCGGUCUGCAACUGGAAGCCCGCUCAGUGUGUUUUCUGAUGCCUCUACAUCACUAGAGUCUAGUAGCUCCUCCACCAAAUGAACCGUUACGAAGAUGUGUCCUUUCUCAGUGAACUGCCAGGAUGUUUAUAACUGAUCAGCUAUCAACUACGAUGUGCAUGGAAUGGUAAAAAAAGUAUGUCACGUUUACCUUAAUGGAAUUACCCAUAAGAUUUGUGAGUAUUUGUCGAAACCUUCCAGGAUCCCCAAUUAACAUUUCUGGAACACGGUCAGAUAUGUAUACUGCCAACUGUGUUCAUCAUCAACACUUACAAGUUACAAACAAAUCUUGCUUUGCAAAUCAUUAAAGAUCAUUUGUGUGUUUACCUCUAGCCCUUUUUCUUGGGACUUGCCAGAGAAGAGUGACAGGACAUCGUCUAAUAUUCCUCUCAAAUCAAACCGCACCUCCUCAAGCUCAACCUUUCCAGAUUCGAUCUUUGCUUGAUCCAGAACCUCGUUUAUUAGCGAGACUAAAGCUUUCCCACUUGCCUGUGCGGUCCUAACGUAAUCCUGUUGUGUAACAUCUAACUCUGUGUCCAUAAGCAUAUGGAGCAUUCCUACAGCCCAAAUCAAAGUCAACAUGAGAUCACAAGUGGAAGAUAUUUAGUUCCGCUUUUUUCUUGAGUAAUAGUAUUCAUGGAAGAGAGGUGAGAUAAGGAGUUUGAUGAUACUCACCAAGAACACCAUUCAUUGGAGUUCUGAUUUCAUGUGAUACAGUGGCGAGGAACUGCAUACAAGAAGUUAGACUACAACCCAUCCCUCUAUUAGAUGAUGCAUGUACGUACCUGUGACUUGGCGACAUCUGCUGCUUCAGCCUUUUUCUUGAGCAGCUCCAUUUUAUGACAAUCUUCUUCUGCUCUGCGUAUUCGACUCAAGGUUGCAUGGAAUAUAUGUGCAACAAGCAACGCAAUCACAAGGAUACCAAAAGAUGUCACCAUCGAUUGCACUGGCCAUGGUGGUUUCUGCUUAAACCUGCAAAGAGGAAGAAAGCUCACAACCGAGUGUUAGCACCUGGAGCAAACAAGAAGAAACUGAAGACAUGCUGAAUUGGCCAAAGUACCUGCAACGCAUUUCAUGCUUUCUAAAUGGAUCGCCGAAGUUGAGUGGACUAACAUGUUCCAACCCAUCAGCCGACACAUGAGAACCAUACAUGCUAAUGGGCUGAGAGUGGUUGGUGGUAUCGUAUACAUUGACAAGAAUCGUUUGCUUGCUAGCCAGCUGCUGAAGCAAGUUUUCCACCAAGGUUUCAAUGUCAAACACUCCACCAAGAUACCUUGAGGGACACUCAUUCCCUCAAACUCGGGCUUAUUAUUGUUAUGCAGUUCACUCUUUCUUUCAGUUGAAUGCACGCCAUUAGCAAACACGGCAGUAAAUGUGAACGUGGAUCCAACCUUGGGAGUACUCGAGAAUCCAAUUUCUCCCUUCAUCAGUCCUACUAGACACUUGCUUAUGCUGAGCCCGAUCCCUGUGCCCCCAUGCGUCCUGGAUAUAGAUGGUCCAACUUGCAUGAACGGUGUAAAAAUGCGUGACUGAGCUUCUACAGGGAUCCCUACGCCAGUAUCCUCAACUGAGACGAUUAGGUUGAUUUCAGAUGGUGCUGGUGCUAAGCCCCUAUGUCCAUUGGAGCUGAAAGCUUUGAAGUUUUGCCAGCUUCUCUGCCGGUCUGCAACUGGAAGCCCGCUCAGUGUGUUUUCUGAUGCCUCUACAUCACUAGAGUCUAGUAGCUC